UCUAGUGGGGGGGGGGGGCGCAUCUUCUGAUGUUUGUCCAGGCCUUUUACCUUCCAGAUCAACUUUAUUAACACUGCCUCAAUCCCCCAGGCAGUCCUCGGUCCCUAUGGUCCCAUUGCAUCCUGAGGUGUGACUCUUGUGCACAUUUGGUGAAUAUCUGGAUGAAGGCUGCUCCUGCCUUGAGGAGCUAGGAGGGGGAAAGUUAAUGAGAUCAUAUAUAGCGAAGGGUGGGGUCUCCACCUCAGUUCCAACUAACUGUUGCCCAUGUGAGGAUGUCAGUAGUCUUCCAAGGUGUUAAAAGAAGCUCUAGAAAUCUAGUUUGUUUCAACAAAAAGUUCCCCGAUUUUAACAAUCCUGUAGACUGCCUGCCGCUCAGAUUGCAGAACCCAGGUGGGUAAAAGCACACCUCUUACUUUGUACUGGCUGCUGCUUCUCAAGUCCUCCUGGAGGGGGCGCUCUCGGUCUGGCCGCAUCGGCAGUGAAGAUGGUGGAUCCGAUUAAGAUGAAAAAUGGAGGAUCAAAGACGUUUGAAUCCCACAGACCUCAAUAAAAACAAGUCCUGGAGGUAAACCAGGCUGAGCUUCCCAUCUGCUGGAAGAGCCACACCUCAGAGCCUGUGAGCUGUGCUCUGAAAGAGCUCCAGGCUGACCACCCUCCAAGGGCAGACAUCUUUACUGAGAGGCAGGAUGCCCUGUGAAGAUGGACAUGCUGUGCUGUGCUGGCUGACUGGAUGUUCCCUUCCCUAGGUCACCCCCUGCUCCCCUGCUGAGUGUCGAUCAUGCAUCACUCUGGAGUUUAUCUCUAAUCGGCAGUCCUAACCUGAGGGGGAGGAAUUGCUGGCUGCCUUUUAUGGAAGAGCAAACCAAGGCCUAAAGAGACUGUCAGGCACCCACCCAGCUCUUGAUCUAGUGUCUCAGGCUGUUUAUUAAGAUUGGUGGAAGAGGCAGGAUUUGAACACUACUUUGUCAAGCUCCAAACUCUGUCCCUUCUCCUAAGUUCCGUGGCUUCUAUUCCAGCAUCACAAACCAAUGGGGGAGUAAUGAAUAUGACUU